rnacentral:rRNA from 1 species
GGACGAACGCUGGCGGCAUGCCUAACACAUGCAAGUCGAACGGAGUAAUGACUUCGGUUAUUACUUAGUGGCGAACGGGUGAGUAACACGUGAAUAAUCUGCCCUGUACGAUGGGAUAACAGCUGGAAACGGCUGCUAAUACCGUAUAUGACCACGCCGAGGCAUCUCGGAGGGGUGAAAGCGCUUAAGCGGUACAGGAUGAGUUCGCGUCCAAUUAGCUAGUUGGUGAGGUAACGGCCCACCAAGGCGACGAUUGGUAGCCGACCUGAGAGGGUGAUCGGCCACACUGGAACUGAGACACGGUCCAGACUCCUACGGGAGGCAGCAGUGGGGAAUAUUGGGCAAUGGAGGAAACUUCCUUACCCAGCAAUGCCGCGUGAGUGAUGAAGGUCUUCGGAUUGUAAAGCUCUUUGAUUGGGGACGAAUAAAUGACGGUACCCAAGGAACAAGCCCCGGCUAACUAUGUGCCAGCCGCCGC